CUUCUCUGCAAAAUGUCUCUCCACCAUGAGCUCAGUUCUCCAUGUCUAAAGGUGUCAGAUGCUCGACUUUCUCAGGUGUCUCCACUAGCAUGGCGUGGGUUGUGAUAGCGUAAUAUAAUUCCGUUUUUUCUGAGAAAAAAUGAAUAGUCUGAUGUGCUUAAUAUCGUGAACCAAUAUGUCCAGGUGUUGCUACAGUGAAAAAACUUACGUUGAUUUUGGCUAUGCUUAUUUUUAUUGCAGAUUAGUGUUUCAUGGGUCGAGCUUUGAAGCUCCUAGUGGAAGCUGUUUCUUGGAUCCUACUUCACCUAUCCUAUGAUACUAAGGGAAUAAAGAUUUUCUUAUGA